UACGAAGGGGGCAAGCGUUGUUCGGAAUUACUGGGCGUAAAGGGCGCGUAGGCGGCCGAUCAAGUCAGGCGUGAAAUUCCCGGGCUCAACCUGGGGGCUGCGCUUGAUACUGAUUGGCUUGAAUGCGGGAGAGGGAUGCGGAAUUCCAGGUGUAGCGGUGAAAUGCGUAGAUAUCUGGAGGAACACCGGUGGCGAAGGCGGCAUCCUGGCCUGUUCUUGACGCUGAGGCGCGAAAGCUAGGGGAGCAAACGGG
rnacentral:rRNA from 1 species